CUUAUGGAGAGUUUGAUCCUGGCUCAGGACGAACGCUGGCGGCAUGCCUAAUACAUGCAAGUCGAGCGAAUCACUAGGAGCUUGCUCCUUUUGAUUAGCGGCGGACGGGUGAGUAACACGUGGGCAAC
rnacentral:rRNA from 1 species